rnacentral:lncRNA from 1 species
UGUCUUAUUCAAUCUUUACGACCUUGGGAGAUAGGUGCUGUUAUUAUUUCUGUUUUACAGUUAAGGAAACUGAGGUAAACAGAAGUAAAGUGAAUUGAAGUCCUACUGAAGCCAAUUUAAACUCAGGUUUUCCUAACUCCAGACUUGGUGCUCUUUCUGCUGUGGAACCUACAUGCUCAGGGAAUCCAACAUUUGAGAUCUCCACAAGAAGAAAUAAACCUCUGAACUCCCAUAGAUUUGGAGCCUGCCAAGGUCCUCCCUCCCACUCAAGUAAAGACAGUCUCACAACAAGGCUGAAGUAACAUCAAAAGGUAUUUGUGCCUCCUGCAAUCCAUUUGCCAAAG